rnacentral:rRNA from 1 species
ACACGCAUGACACACUGCAUAUCAAUAAGCGGAGGAAAAGAAACUAACAAGGAUUCCCCUAGUAACGGCGAGUGAAGCGGGAAGAGCUCAAAUUUGAAAUCUUAAAGGGUUUCCCUUUACGAAUUGUAGUUUAAAGAAGUGUUUUCUGUUGGAGUUUCGGUAAAAGUUCUUUGGAAUAGGACAUCAUAGAGGGUGAGAAUCCCGUAUUUGACCGUUACUUUCCAGCUGUGUGAUACACUUUCAAAGAGUCGGAUUGUCUGGGAAUGCAGUCCAAAAUGGGUGGUAAAUUUCAUCUAAAGCUAAAUAUUGGCGAGAGACCGAUAGCGAACAAGUACCGUGAGGGAAAGAUGAAAAGAACUUUGAAAAGAGAGUUAAACAGUACGUGAAAUUGUCAAAAGGGAAGCGUUUGACACCAGUGUUGUUUAGUUGAAAAUCAAUUCAAUAAUUUUUGAUUUUAAGUAGUAUUGACUUCAUCAGCUUGCUGCUUUCUUUUCAGGAAAUUAUUGAAUGCACUUUUCAGUUAACAAGUCAACAUCAAUUUCUUUUGUUGUAAAAGGGUAAGAGGAAGGUGGCUUACGCUUCGGCGUAAGUGUUUAUAGCCUUUUACCUCUGCAAUCGGAGAGAUUGAGGACAGCAGCGUAGACUCCUUCGGGGUUAGAUACACUUGUGCUAAGCUAUAGCCUUGUAUAGACAACUUGUUGACUAUGCUCAGUCAUGUAGCUUACUCGCUUGUGCUAUUUUACCUACGCUUAGGAUGUUGAGCGCAUGUCUCUCUCU